CAGUGUUACAGCUCUUUUAGAAUGUGUCCAGCAGGUCUUCUGGUCUCUACCAGAAGCUCCCCU
rnacentral:snRNA from 1 species